rnacentral:tRNA from 1 species
GGUUCUGUGGCCGAGAGGAUAGGCAUGACUACGCAAUGGUCAUUAGAUUGGUUCGAAUCCAGUCAGAACCUCAA